GGCCUUGUGACCUAAUCAUCUCUUAAAGUCCCCACCUUUCAACACUAUUGCAUUGAGAGUUAAGUUUCUAAAACGUGAACUCUUUGGGGGACACACUUAAACCAUAGCAGCGGCCAAGCUGUCUUGUGUUUCUGGUGCAUCUUGUGUGGAAGAAAAUCCCUGCCCCUCCCCCAGUGGUAGGAGACCUCAGUGGUGUAGUUCUUCUAUGUCUUCCCCACAGUUUUGCUAAUUUCUUUAAUAUCAGAAGACAGCUGGAUUCUCAUUUCUGCUUCUGCAUUCAGUCUAUUGUGAUAUAGCAUAUCAUGUAACUUCUGAAAAACUUCACUGUACACAGAUGCUGACCUCACAGACUCCCUGAAAGGAUCUCCAUGACCUCUAUGGUUCCUUAGACUGCACUUUGAGAACUAUUGACGUACAGGGAAAAAUGCUCUUGGUGUUCCAGUUAAGCACAGAAUAAAAUCUGGACUGUGUCAGUUUGUAAAGAUCUUAUGUCUACUUGGUCAUCAGCCAAGAAGGGAUUCCGAAGAUAGAAGAGGAGGCAUCAACACCGUGAACAUCAUGGCUGAGUUAUUUUGUGAGAGGGAUAAGCCUAAAGUAAAAACCUUGGAUUUGCCUCUGUCCUUGAACAUGCUAUCUGGAAAGAGUUUUCUUAAAAGUAUUGUUGUGAACACAUCCAUUUUCCCAGUAUAGUUGAAUGCAGGGUUUAAUAAAUGGAAUGAAUCUAGUUUUAGUUCCUGUACUGCUUGUGCUUUCAAUAACCUCUAUAUUUGAAUAACACAUUUCAGUAGAUAUGUUUGUUAGCGUUGAACUUGUAAGUUGACGAAGAAAGGG
rnacentral:lncRNA from 1 species